UAAGGGUCCAUAUAUCACAUUGAUAAAAGACAUACAUGUAUUUUUACUUUAACAUGAACUAAAGCUGAGUUAAGGCAUAUACUAUCAUAAACUAAUGAAGAGUCAUCAUUAACAUGACAUGUUUUUCAUUGUUAGUUAAUGCAUUCAUUUACAAUAAAUUAAUUUGAGUUCAUGUUGUAAUUAAGUAAGUUCAGUAAGUUACAUGUCUUAACUCAGCAUUAGUUUACUUAUAUUUAAGUAAGAAUUCAUUUAGGUAUACGUUCAAUGUUUCCAAUGAUUAGCAGUUAAUCCACUAAACCCAAAGAUAAUUCCUGAGGCAUGUUUAAAGAGUUUUGUAUUUCAUCAAGUAAGUGCUGAUUCACAAAGAUUUUAUAUUUAAGAAAAUCUGAGCAUCAUUCAAAAUAACUGUUAACAUGUUUGUCAACUAAACAUGUUUUGUCAAUGUUUUAAACUUUAUAGAAAUAUUUUUUAUUUUUUAUUAAUGACCAAGUAUAAAGAACAAUGCAUAGUGUGAAAACGCGGAUUAUAUAAAAGUAUAUAAUAAAGUGCGAGCAGAGGAUCUUGGGCUGGAAUGAUUGUAGUGCAUCCAAUGCACCUUGGAAAUCGUAGUUUACAUCUACAGCAGCAUAUGCUACAGCAGUGACAACGCCAAAGAAAAGGACUACAUUUCCCAGAAUGCACCUGCACCCACUCAUCUGCCCCACCCUUCAGGUGCGACUGCUUGACCUAUGGGCUUGACGGGAAAAUUCAAAAUCGCGAACCGUUACAGCCUGGACUACUCUUUGUUUGCUUGCUCAUCAACAGUAAGAGGUCAUGUACACUGUGGUCAACUUUGUGGACGCUGAAGAGGUUUCUGGGUAAAGAUGAUUGAAAUAUAAUGAAGUAACAGUGGAAGCUAAAACAUCAGACUGAUCCAGACACUGAAGAAAUUGAUGUCACUGCAAUCUGGCCAAAAUGAUACAACUAUAUUGAAGUAGCCUACUGUAAUGAAGCUGCAGAACGUCACAGAGACUCUGAGGACAUCAACACAGAAAAUCUAGGCUCCAAAGAGAUGUCUGUCCAGAUGAGGGUGCAUCAGCGUUACCUUUGCUGACAAGUAUAUGCUUUUAGCAGUUAACUUAACUCAAACCAUUUAAGGAAAUCGGUUGCCUUAAACCAUUAAGUUUUAAAAAACAUACAUUUGAGUACUGUGAACUUAAGUCUUGUGCAAUUAUGCACUUAUAUUUAGGUAGUGUGAACUUAAAUAUAAGUGCUUAACUGCAUGUGACUCAAUUUGUUUGUUCACAGUACUCAAAUCUAUGCGUUUUAAAACUUGAAUGGUUUAAUGCAACCGGUUUUCUUAAAUGUGAGAAAUUACAGUGUUACAGUGAGAAAUGUUUGAAUAAUUCCAAGACAGAGCUCUGUGAUUGAUUCUACAC